UAGAGUGGCGGACUGGUGAGUAACACGUGGGUGACAUACCCUCUGGUUGGGGAUAGCCGGUAGAAAUACCGGAUAAUACCGAAUACGAACGCACAGGUUAGAGUGGUGCGAGGAAAGGAGCUACGGCUUCGCCGGAGGAUUGGCCCGCGGCCCAUUAGCUAGUUGGAGUGGUAAAGGCACACCAAGGCAAUGAUGGGUAUCCGGACUGAGGGGUUGGAUCGGCCACAUUGGGACUGAGAUACGGCCCAGACUCCUACGGGAGGCAGCAGUGGGGAAUAUUGGGCAAUGGACGCAAGUCCGACCCAGCAACGCCGCGUGAAGGAAGAAGGCUUUCGGGUUGUAAACUUCUUUUAAGUGGGAAGAGUAGAAGACGGUACCACUUGAAUAAGCCACGGCUAACUACGUG
rnacentral:rRNA from 1 species